GACGAACGCUGGCGGCGCGCCUAACACAUGCAAGUCGAACGGGAUCUUUUAGAAGCUUGCUUCUGGCUGAUCUAGUGGCGGACGGGUGAGUAACACGUGAGCAACCUGCCGAAGAGUGGGGGAUAACGUCUGGAAACGGACGCUAAUACCGCAUAAUGUACCUGGAGGGCAUCCUUUGGGUACCAAAGGAGUAAUCCGCUUUUUGAUGGGCUCGCGCCCGAUUAGGUAGUUGGUGGGGUAAUGGCCCACCAAGCCGACGAUCGGUAGCCGGACUGAGAGGUUGAACGGCCACAUUGGGACUGAGACACGGCCCAGACUCCUACGGGAGGCAGCAGUGGGGGAUAUUGCACAAUGGGGGAAACCCUGAUGCAGCGACGCCGCGUGAGUGAAGACGGCCUUCGGGUUGUAAAGCUCUGUUAUGGGGGACGAUAAUGACGGUACCCCAUUAGAAAGCCACGGCUAACUACGUGCCAGCCGCCGCCGUAAUAC
rnacentral:rRNA from 1 species